GAGACAAACCUUACUUGACUUGAGAUACUCUAGUUUUUCAUACUUUUUACCCUUCCACCCUUAUAAGCCACCUUCGACGACAUAGUGUGUUUUACAGUCAGAAUCUUGAGCUUACUCAGCUUUCUCAAUCCUAAGUGUCACCCUUAAUUUCGAGUCACCUCUCACUUGUUAUCUUCAUCCGACCAGAUUUCAGAUCUCGAAUUUCAAGCUUAAACUGCUAUGAAAGUCAUUUUCAAUUUCAUCAAUUUAAUGACACGUACUACGUGAGCUCAAUUUGAAGAUGUUUUAACUCAAGGCCUUCAGGUUCACAUUAAGAUGUCAGCAUGAUUCAGUACACUGGCAAUCCCAUUAAAGUAACUGCCAUUUUAGUCGUCACUAGAAUUUUAGUCCUCGGCAUUUUGACGUAUUGACAGAGUGGGCAGUACUUUCAGUGUAUUAGGUGGCUCAAGUUGCAUUUUUUGAGAAAGUGUCAUUUAGGACCAUGUCCGAAAUCGCACUUCAAUGAGAUUCCCAGUGCAUUUUGAUAUAUAAUUCCUUAUAUAUUUAUAUAAACAGAAAUUGUAAACAAAUAUGGGAUGAAAUAAAGAAAAAGGAAGG